rfam:Cyanothece sp. ATCC 51142 circular chromosome, complete sequence.
GGUCAAGCUACAAAGGGCUAACGGUGGAUACCUAGGCACACAGAGGCGAAGAAGGACGUAGUUACCGACGAUACGCUCCGGGGAGCUGGAAGCAAGCAUUGAGCCGGAGGUUUCCGAAUGGGGCAACCCCAAGAACGGUCACCUGAAUCUAUAGGGUGACACGAGCUAACCGGGCGAACUGAAACAUCUUAGUAACCCGAGGAAGAGAAAGCAAAAGCGAUUCCCCCAGUAGCGGCGAGCGAAAAGGGACCAUGCCUAAACCAUCGACUACGGUUGAUGGGGUUGUGGGACAGUAACGUGGACUGUAGCGGUUAAACGAAGCAGCUGAAAACUGCACCAAAGAAGGUGAAAGUCCUGUAGUUGAAAACUCAAACAGCCUAACUGUAUCCCGAGUAGCACGGAGCCCGUGGAAUUCCGUGUGAAUCAGCGAGGACCACCUCGUAAGGCUAAAUACUCCUGUGUGACCGAUAGCGAAACAGUACCGCGAGGGAAAGGUGAAAAGAACCCCGGCAAGGGGAGUGAAAUAGAACAUGAAACCGUUAGCCUACAAGCAAUGGGAGGACGAUUUAACGUCUGACCGUGUGCCUGUUGAAGAAUGAGCCGGCGACUUACAGGCUGUGGCAGGUUAAAUGGGAGACCAUGAAGCCAAAGUGAAAGCGAGCCUGAAUAGGGCGAUAGUCACAGUUUGUAGACCCGAACCCGGGUGAUCUAACCAUGGCCAGGAUAAAGCUAGGGUAAUACCUUGUGGAGGUCCGAACCGACCAACGUUGAAAAGUUGGCGGAUGAGCUGUGGUUAGGGGUGAAAUGCCAAUCGAACCCGGAGCUAGCUGGUUCUCCCCGAAAUGCGUUUAGGCGCAGCGGUUGUGUACCUUAUGGGGGGGUAAAGCACUAUUUCGCUGCGGGCUGCGAGAGCGGUACCAAAGCGAGAUAAACUCAGAAUACCCUAUAAGCAUCAACCAGUGAGACGGUGGGGGAUAAGCUUCAUCGUCGAAAGGGAAACAGCCCAGACCACCAGCUAAGGUCCCAAAAUAAAUACUAAGUGAUAAAGGAGGUGGGAGUGCAUAGACAACCAGGAGGUUUGCCUAGAAGCAGCAACCCUUAAAAGAGUGCGUAAUAGCUCACUGGUCAAGCGCUCCUGCGCCGAAAAUGAACGGGGCUAAGUAUUUUACCGAAGCUGUGGACAGGAAACUGUGGUAGGGGAGCGUUCUGUAUAGGGUGAAGCACUAGCGGCAAGCAGGUGUGGACAGUACAGAAGUGAGAAUGUCGGCUUGAGUAGCGAAAAUAUAUGUGAGAAUCAUAUACCCCGAAAUCCUAAGGGUUCCUCCGGAAGGCUCGUCCGCGGAGGGUUAGUCAGGACCUAAGGCGAGGCCGAAAGGCGUAGUCGAUGGACAACGGGUUAACAUUCCCGUACUGAUUAGGAAUUGUGGCGGGGGACGGAGAAGGCUUAGUAUCAGCCGGAAGAUGGUUACCGGUGCAAGGAAACGAGGCGAUGAGGGACGGAGAAAACGUCCUGAGCCAAGUUCUGAGUCCGAGGAGCUACGGCUCUUAAGUGAUGCGAGUCAGACUUCCCAGAAAAGCCCGAACCACGUUAAUUUCUAAUUACCUGUACCCGAAACCGACACAGGUAGGAGGGUAGAGAAUACCAAGGGGCGCGAGAUAACUCUCUCUAAGGAACUCGGCAAAAUUACCCCGUAACUUUGGGAGAAGGGGUGCCACCGCAAGGUGGUCGCAGUGAAGAGGCCCAGGCGACUGUUUACCAAAAACACAGGUCUCCGCCAAGUCGCAAGACGCAGUAUGGGGGCUGACGCCUGCCCAGUGCCGGAAGGUUAAGGAAGUUGGUUAGCGAAAGCGAAGCUAGCGACCGAAGCCCCGGUGAACGGCGGCCGUAACUAUAACGGUCCUAAGGUAGCGAAAUUCCUUGUCGGGUAAGUUCCGACCCGCACGAAAGGCGUAACGAUCUGGGCACUGUCUCGGAGAGAGACUCGGCGAAAUAGGAUUGUCUGUGAAGAUACGGACUACCUGCACCCGGACAGAAAGACCCUAUGAAGCUUUACUGUAGCUUGGAAUUGGGUUCGGGCUUCCCUUGCGCAGCAUAGGUGGGAGGCGUUGAAGUUUUCCUCGUGGGGAAAAUGGAGCCAACGGUGAGAUACCACUCUAGGGAGGCUAGAAUUCUAACUUAGACCCGUGAUCCGGGUUAAGGACAGUUUCAGGUGGGCAGUUUGACUGGGGCGGUCGCCUCCUAAAAGGUAACGGAGGCGCGCAAAGGUUCCCUCAGGCUGGUUGGAAAUCAGCCGCAGAGUGCAAAGGCAGAAGGGAGCUUGACUGCGAGACUUACAAGUCAAGCAGGGACGAAAGUCGGCCUUAGUGAUCCGACGGCACCGAGUGGAAGGGCCGUCGCUCAACGGAUAAAAGUUACUCUAGGGAUAACAGGCUGAUCUCCCCCAAGAGUUCACAUCGACGGGGAGGUUUGGCACCUCGAUGUCGGCUCAUCGCAACCUGGGGCUGUAGUAGGUCCCAAGGGUUGGGCUGUUCGCCCAUUAAAGCGGUACGUGAGCUGGGUUCAGAACGUCGUGAGACAGUUCGGUCCAUAUCCGGUGUAGGCGUAAGAGCAUUGAGAGGAGCCUUCCUUAGUACGAGAGGACCGGGAAGGACGCACCGCUGGUGUACCUGUUAUCGUGCCAACGGUAAACGCAGGGUAGCCAAGUGCGGAGCGGAUAACCGCUGAAAGCAUCUAAGUGGGAAGCCCACCUCAAGAUGAGUGCUCUCACAGGGUUAACCUGGUAAGGUCACGGGAAGACCACCCGUUAAUAGGCACUCGGUGGAAGUUCAGCAAUGAAUGAAGCCAAGGUGUACUAACAGACCGAGGGCUUGACCUU